rnacentral:rRNA from 1 species
UACAUUAGAUACCCGGGUAGUCCCAGCCGUAAACUAUGCUCGCUAGGUGUCAGGCAUGGCGCGACCGUGUCUGGUGCCGCAGGGAAGCCGUGAAGCGAGCCACCUGGGAAGUACGGCCGCAAGGCUGAAACUUAAAGGAAUUGGCGGGGAGCACCACAACGGGUGGAGCCUGCGGUUUAAUUGGACUCAACGCCGGGAAGCUCACCGGAUAAGACAGCGGAAUGAUUGCCGGGCUGAAGACUCUGCAUGACUAGCUG